rnacentral:rRNA from 1 species
AUUGAACGCUGGCGGCAGGCUUAACACAUGCAAGUCGAGCGGGGGAAGUUACUUCGGUAACUGACCUAGCGGCGGACGGGUGAGUAAUGCUUAGGAAUCUGCCUAUUAGUGGGGGACAACAUUCCGAAAGGAAUGCUAAUACCGCAUACGCCCUACGGGGGAAAGCAGGGGAUCUUCGGACCUUGCGCUAAUAGAUGAGCCUAAGUCGGAUUAGCUAGUUGGUGGGGUAAAGGCCUACCAAGGCGACGAUCUGUAGCGGGUCUGAGAGGAUGAUCCGCCACACUGGGACUGAGACACGGCCCAGACUCCUACGGGAGGCAGCAGUGGGGAAUAUUGGACAAUGGGGGGAACACUGAUCCAGCCAUGCCGCGUGUGUGAAGAAGGCCUUUUGGUUGUAAAGCACUUUAAGCGAGGAGGAGGCUCCUUUAGUUAAUACCUAAAGAGAGUGGACGUUACUCGCAGAAUAAGCACCGGCUAACUCUGUGCCAGCAGCCGCAGUAACAC